UGCCAUCAAAAACAUGAAGCAACCCACUUUUUCUGGGUCUGCAUUGGAUAGAUAGGAUCAGAUUCAAUCACAUCACCUAAUAACUUCUGUCGUCUCUAAUCCCCAUUUUCUCUAAUUGUCAAUAACUUCUUUCCUCCCAGAUCUGUAAAUUUUCAUUAAGCAGCACUUAUGAUGGCAUCACCACUAUUGAAACUUGGAAUGGAUUGGAAAGUAGAAUGUCUUGAUGAAGCAUCUCUCUGGUCAG
rnacentral:misc_RNA from 1 species